rnacentral:tRNA from 1 species
GGAGUUACAGCUCAGUGACAGAGUGCUUGCCUAGAAUGUGCAAGGCCCUGGGUUCAAUUCCCAGUCCA